GAUGAACGCUAGCUACAGGCUUAACACAUGCAAGUCGAGGGGCAGCAUGGUCUUAGCUUGCUAAGACUGAUGGCGACCGGCGCACGGGUGAGUAACACGUAUCCAACCUUCCGUUUACUCAGGGAUAGCCUUUCGAAAGAAAGAUUAAUACCUGAUAGUAUGGUGAGAUUGCAUGAUAGCACCAUUAAAGAUUUAUUGGUAAACGAUGGGGAUGCGUUCCAUUAGGUAGUAGGCGGGGUAACGGCCCACCUAGCCGACGAUGGAUAGGGGUUCUGAGAGGAAGGUCCCCCACAUUGGAACUGAGACACGGUCCAAACUCCUACGGGAGGCAGCAGUGAGGAAUAAUUGGUCAAUGGGCGAGAGCCUGAACCAGCCAAGUAGCGUGAAGGAUG
rnacentral:rRNA from 1 species